rnacentral:rRNA from 1 species
GUGGGGAAUAUUGGACAAUGGGCGCAAGCCUGAUCCAGCAAUGCCGCGUGGGUGAAGAAGGCCUUCGGGUUGUAAACCGCUUUUGUCAGGGAAGAAAUCCUUUGGGUUAAUACCUCGGAGGGAUGACGGUACCUGAAGAAUAAGCACCGGCUAACUACGUGCCAGCAGCCGCGGUAAUACGUAGGGUGCGAGCGUUAAUCGGAAUUACUGGGCGUAAAGCGUGCGCAGGCGGUUUUGUAAGAUCGAUGUGAAAUCCCCGGGCUCAACCUGGGAACUGCAUUGGUGACUGCAAGGCUGGAGUGCGGCAGAGGGGGAUGGAAUUCCGCGUGUAGCAGUGAAAUGCGUAGAUAUGCGGAGGAACACCGAUGGCGAAGGCAAUCCCCUGGGCCUGCACUGACGCUCAUGCACGAAAGCGUGGGGAGCAAACAGGAUUAGAAACCCCAGUAGUC